CCCCUGAGAAGUCCUCGUGUUGCAUCCCU
rnacentral:rRNA from 2 species